rnacentral:lncRNA from 1 species
GUUUGUUUUCCUUCUAGUAUGGGUUCUUUCAUAAGAUGACCAGCCUCUGUAACAAAAAUGGAUUUUCAUUGUUGGGGCGGAUACCACCUUUGGUAUUACGGGCGUUAAUGCAGCGAGCCCCUUUGUGUCAGCGUUUCUCAACCGCAGCCAAUGAGUUGUGUUUCCAGCGGGCAGCGUGAUAUGACUGUUUAGCUGCAUAGAAAGUGCAGGCCGAGGAGUGUGGGAGGUGGUGUCAUUGGUCUUUGUAAGCACAUCCACCCCCUGCGAGCAUCACACACAUUGUAGAAUAAAGACGCUCAGCAAGCCAUAACCCCACACGCAUUCCCGCCACUCUACAAAUGGAAUGCUGACUCACUCUGUCUUGAAUUGAAGACUGUGAAGUUUUACCCACUAGCUUUACACAUUCUCUCGUGUUUUGCCCUGAAAAAG